UAUCAUCCAGGCAAAACAAACGUGGUUGCAGAUGCCUUGAGUAGGAAAGGCAGGGAAAAGUUGAUGUUGUUAACUGAUAAGGAGGAGCUUAUUUCCGCAAUGUCAAGGUUAGAAUUGGAAAUCAAAUUUCCAAGAGAAUCCAAUGAAAGAUGUUACCAGAUGGAAGUCAGUCCAACUUUGGUGGACAAAGUGAAGAACGCUCAACUACAGGAUGAGGAAUGCAG
rnacentral:lncRNA from 1 species